rnacentral:rRNA from 1 species
CCUACGGGAGGCAGCAGUGGGGGAUAUUGCACAAUGGGGGGAACCCUGAUGCGGCGACGCCGCGUGGGUGAAGGAGUGCUUCGGCAUGUAAAGCCCUAUCUGCAGGGAAGAAGCAAGUCGGUACCUUCCUCAGAAGCCCCUGCUAACUACGUGCCAGCAGCCGCGGUAAUACGUAGGGGGCGAGCGUUAUCCGAAUUCACUGGGUGUAAAGGGAGCGGCGUCGGGGUGACAAGUCAGAGGUGAAAUCCUGGGGCUUAACCGCAGAACUGCAUUUGAACCUGUUGAUCUUGAGUACUGGAGAGGCAGGCGGAAUGCCUGGGGUAGCGGUGAAAUGCGUAGAUAUUAGGAGGAACACCAGUGGCGAAGGCGGUCUGCUGGACAGAAACUGACGGUGAGGCGCGAAAGCGUGGGGAGCAAACAGGAUUAGAUACCCUAGUAGUC